rnacentral:rRNA from 1 species
UACGUAGGGUGCAAGCGUUGUCCGGAAUUAUUGGGCGUAAAGAGCUCGUAGGCGGUUUGUCGCGUCUGCCGUGAAAGUCCGGGGCUCAACUCCGGAUCUGCGGUGGGUACGGGCAGGACUAGAGUGAUGUAGGGGAGACUGGAAUUCCUGGGUGUAGCGGUGAAAUGCGCAGAUAUCAGGAGGAACACCGAUGGCGAAGGCAGGUCUCCUGGGCAUUAACUGACGCUGAGGAGCGAAAGCAUGGGGAGCGAACAGG